AUGAGCUCGUCCUCCUCUGCUUCGCCUUCAGCUCCGGCCCACGGAGCACAGAAAAAGACUCCCAUCUCGAGUACUUCGUCUACAAGGCUGCCUCCGGCGGCAAGCCCACCAUCAGAUCUGUUCCGUGUUUCCCUCGAGCCUACAGGCACUCAUGGCACGCCGCCAUCGUGCCCGGAUAGGGCGACAAUUUCUUGGUGGCUGAUCUUUCCCCGAAUGGGGACCCUGGGCACUACAACCUGCACAUCUUCUCGUCGGAGACAAACGAGUGGAGCACCAAACACGUGCAGCUGCAGAUCGACCCGGAUGUCCUGCCACUGGAGCUGCCAAUCCUAA
rnacentral:rRNA from 1 species